AUUGAACGCUGGCGGCAGGCCUAACACAUGCAAGUCGAGCGAGCGGCGGACGGGUGAGUAAUGUAUGGGGACUGCCCGAUAGAGGGGGAUAACUACUGGAAACGGUGGCUAAUACCGCAUACUAUCGGAUAACCCAUAUGGGAUUAGCUAGUAGGUGGGGUAAAGGCUCAACUAGGGGACGAUCUCUAGCUGGUCUGAGAGAAUGAUCAGUGACACUGGGGCUGAUAGACGGGCAAGGAUACUACGGAGGCAGAAGUGGGGAAUAUUGCACAAUGGGCGCAAGACAGAUGCAGCCAUGCAGCGUGUAAGAAGAAGGCCUUAGGGUUGUAAAGUACUUUCAGCGGGGAGGCGUUACCCGCAGAAGCAGCACCGGCUAGCUCCGUGCCAGCCGCCGCGGUAAUUC
rnacentral:rRNA from 1 species